rnacentral:tRNA from 1 species
GGUGUAGCGCAGCUGGUAGCGCGCCUGGUUUGGGACCAGGAUGUCGGGGGUUCAAAUCCCUUCAC